rnacentral:rRNA from 1 species
GUCUUCUUGUUAUAUUUAGGAAGUCUGGCCUGCCCAGUGAAAAUAAUUUAACGGCCGCGGUAUACUGACCGUGCAAAGGUAGCAUAAUCAUUAGUCUUUUAAUAGAGGGCUGGUAUGAAGGGUUUAACGAGGUGUUGACUGUCUCAUUUAAUUUGGAUUUAGAAUUUAAUUUUUUAGUUAAAAAGCUAAAAUUUUAUUGGAAGACGAGAAGACCCUAUAGAGCUUUAUAUUUUUAUUAUUAAUUUAUUUUAGUUUAUUAUUAUUUAUUAUUAAUAGGAAAUAUUUUGUUGGGGUGACAAAAAUAUAUAAAUAACUUUUUCAUUUAUUUUACAUUGAUAUAUGAAUAUUAGAUCCAAUCUUAUUGAUUGUUAGAUUAAGUUACCUUAGGGAUAACAGCGUAAUCCCUCUCCAGAGUUCAUAUUUACAGAGGGGCUUGCGACCUCGAUGUUGGAUUAAGAUAAUAAUUAGGUGCAGCCGCUUAAUUAAUAGGUCUGUUCGACCUUUAAAUUCUU